CCCUAUGGGGCGCAGCAGGGUCCUGAACUCACAGCUCAUGGCUGUCAGGUCACAAUUCUGGAUAUGUCCAAUAAGCAGCUUGAAGCUGAUAAGCUGGUGUCUCAACGGGAAGGUUAUUCGAUUAACCUAAUCAAAGCGGAUAUGACCAGCCCAUUUCCAUUUGAUGAUGAUUCCUUCGAUUUUAUUGUUCACCCCGUUUCAAACUGUUACGUGGAAGACGUUGAGCACGUCUGGCAGGAGGCUUAUCGGGUAUUACGACCUGGGGGUGCCUUAAUGUCAGGCUGGGGGAAUCCGAUUGUUUAUAUGGUGGACGAAGAAGCCUUGUCAUCAGAAGACGUGCCCCUGGAGAUCAAGCAUGCCCUGCCUUAUAACAGCCGGCUGGAAGAGCAAAAGGGAUUGAAGAUCACCACAGAGGGCGGCUACCAAUUCAGCCAUACACUUGAUACUCAAAUUGGCGGGAGGGC
rnacentral:rRNA from 1 species